GACGAACGCUGGUGGCGCGCUUAAUACAUGCAAGUCGAGCGAGAACCAGGGCUUCGGCCCUGGGGACAGCGGCGAACGGGUGAGUAACACGUGGGUAAUCAACCCCCGACACCGGGAUAGCCCAGGGAAACUUGGAUUAAUACCGGAUGCCCCAUCUGGCUUUCGAGCCGGCUGGAAAAGGGUAGCUUCGGCCUCCGGUCGGGGACGAGCCCGCGGCGGAUUAGCUUGUUGGUGAGGUAAAGGCUCACCAAGGCGACGAUCCGUAGCUGGUCUGAGAGGACGAGCGGCCACACUGGGACUGAGACACGGCCCAGACUCCUACGGGAGGCAGCAGUAGGGAAUCUUGCGCAAUGGGCGAAAGCCUGAAGCAGCGACGCCGCGUGAGGGAAGAAGGCCUUCGGGUUGUAAACCUCUUUCAGGAGGGACGAAGCCACUCGGGUUAAUAGCCUAGAGGGUGACGGUACCUCCAGAAGAAGCCCCGGCUAACUACGUGCCAGCAGCCGCGGUAACAC
rnacentral:rRNA from 1 species